rnacentral:rRNA from 1 species
GACGAACGCUGGCGGCGUGCUUAACACAUGCCAGUCGAACGGAAAGGCCCUGCUUUUGUGGGGUGCUCGAGUGGCGAACGGGUGAGUAACACGUGAGUAACCUGCCCUUGACUUUGGGAUAACUUCAGGAAACUGGGGCUAAUACCGGAUAGGAGCUCCUGCUGCAUGGUGGGGGUUGGAAAGUUUCGGCGGUUGGGGAUGGACUCGCGGCUUAUCAGCUUGUUGGUGGGGUAGUGGCUUACCAAGGCUCUGACGGGUAGCCGGCCUGAGAGGGUGACCGGCCACAUUGGGACUGAGAUACGGCCCAGACCCCUACGGGAGGCAGCAGUGGGGAAUAUUGCACAAUGGGCGGAAGCCUGAUGCAGCAACGCCGCGUGCGGGAUGACGGCCUUCGGGUUGUAAACCGCUUUCGCCUGUGACGAAGCGUGAGUGACGGUAAUGGGUAAAGAAGCACCGGCUAACUACGUG